AGAGUUUGAUCCUGGCUCAGAGUGAACGCUGGCGGCAGGCCUAAUACAUGCAAGUCGAACGGCAGCACAGCAGAGCUUGCUCUGUGGGUGGCGAGUGGCGGACGGGUGAGGAAUACAUGGGAAUCUGCCCAGUCGUGGGGGAUAACGUAGGGAAACUUACGCUAAUACCGCAUGCGCCCUUCGGGGGAAAGCCGGGGACCUUCGGGCCUGGCGCGAUUGGAUGAGCCCAUGUCGGAUUAGCUAGUUGGCGGGGUAAUGGCCCACCAAGGCGACGAUCCGUAGCUGGUCUGAGGGGAUGAUCAGCCACACUGGAACUGAGACACGGUCCAGACUCCUACGGGAGGCAGCAGUAGGGAAUAUUGGACAAUGGGCGCAAGCCUGAUCCAGCCAUGCCGCGUGAGUGAAGAAGGCCCUCGGGUUGUAAAGCUCUUUUGUCCGGAAAGAAAAGCGCCGGGUUAAUACCCUGGUGUCCUGACGGUACCGGAAGAAUAAGCACCGGCUAACUUCGUG
rnacentral:rRNA from 1 species